UAUUUUUUUCAUUUGACACAUUUUUUUUUGUCACUAAGAAAUAUACAUCUAUUAAUUUAAAGGUUGGAUAAAUUAAAUAAAAAUAUUUUUUCAUCAUAAACUGCUGUGAUCGAGCGAUCCUAACCAGCGCUGAGAAAAGUAAUAGAUACCACGUGACCACGCCUUAUUCUGAAAACAUUUAAAAAAUAAAAUUUACACGAGAAUAAUGAUAUUUAUAGAUCUUAACAGAUCUUAGAAACUAUAUAGUGAAGUGCUAAAACAAAAUUAUUAUUUGGACCCAUUGUAUUUGACCAAGCGAUUACAGACAAGGUAAAGGCAGGUAAGCACCGCCCAUUUUCAGUUUGCACGUUAACGGUACAUUACAGAUUGUUUUGCUAACCGCCACAAUGAAAUUUCGCAUUAUGAUGAGCUCGUUUAUGAAGGAUGCCCAAUUAUUAAUAUAUUGGACCCCACAGCUCCACUUUGACUGUGUGAAGAAUUACAUGCUGGAGCAUCUCGCAUGAUGAAAAAGAUUGAUUGCACAGUGGCAGACUCUCCAGGGACUGUGUGCGAUGGGUCCCCAGAGUAUCCAGAAGCAGAGGCAGAGGAAGGAGCCGCUUCAGGCGUGGAGCUCUUCCAAAUACGCAGACGUUCCAGCCGGAACCUGCAGCUGCCCCCGUUGGUCUUCCGGCAAGCUGAGCAACAUGACUGGAACAGCAAAGAGACUGAGCCGAUUGCCCGUCCAACCACUCUGGCACUGCGCAUCCCCCCGCUCAUCGCCAUCACAUCUGCUGACGCCGGCAGGAGAACUCCGCGGCUGCUGACGACUGUGUGUCAUAGACCUCUGCAGCACAUCUUAUUCUGGAGGACAGGAAAAGUGGCUGCUUCACACUUUAUUUCAAGUGGACGUGACCUGCUUUCCUCGUGUUUCUUGCAAGUGGACGUGACCUGCUUUCCUCGUGUUUUCCUUGAUGCUUUUGGAACAUUCACUUUUCUGAAGGUUUUCUCAGCAGUUACUUGUGAUAAAUGUGCUGGAGCUGCAACUACUAAUGAAAAUAGUGACAGUAAAACAUAUACAAUGUUUAGAUUUAUAUUCCAAAUAAAUACUGUUCUUUAAACUUUUUGUUCAUCAAAGAAUGCUUAAAAAAUCUAUCACAAUUUCCACAAAAAUAUGAAGCAGUUUUUUAAUAAUAAGAAGAAAUGUUUCUUGAGCAGCAAAUCAGCAUAUUAGAAUGAUUUCUGAAGGAUCAUGUGACACUGAUGAAUAGAGUAAUAAUCCUGCAUUAAUA
rnacentral:lncRNA from 1 species